CAAUAGUGUAUACUAAAGUUGCUGCAGUUAAAAAGCUCGUAGUUGGAUUUCGGUUAAUAGGACAUUAGUCUACAUUAUUAUAUGUACGAACUGGUGUUUUAUUUCCUUCUUUUCAGAUAUCAAUGUAUUUUGAUUCUGAAUCUUUUACUUUGAGAAAAUUAGAGUGUUCAAAGCAGGCGUAACAUAGCCUUUGAAUAUAUUAGCAUGGGAUAAUGGAAUAAGACUUUUUGCCUUAUUUUCGUUGGUUAUUAGGGCUAAAGUAAUGAUUAAUAGGGAUAGUUGGGGUCAUUAGUAUUUAAUUGUCAGAGGUGAAAUUCUAAGAUUUAUUAAAGACUAACUACUGCGAAAGCAUUUGACAAGGAUGUUUUCAUUAA
rnacentral:rRNA from 1 species